CAAACAAACGUUAGUUUGAAGGGCCAUCCAUGUUCUUAGUGCCUGUGGCCUACCCUUUCUGGGUGGUUUUCUGUUUCUGUCAGGCACAUGGUGUUGUUGGCACAGGUCUGAAAUACAGCUAGUCAGUGCUCAUACUCUGGGCUGCUGUGAGACUGUUAGAAAUCAGGCCUACGAUCUGUUGGAUGCUUUAAAAAAAGUUACAGAUACUAGGACGGGAGAGAUGGAUCAGCAGUUAAGAGAACUGACUCUUCUUACCGAGGACCCAGGUUCAGUUCCCACAUGGCAGCUCACGGCUACCUGCAACUCCAGUGCUAGGAGAUCUGAUACCCCUUUCUGGUCUCUAAUGGCACCAAGUUUGAAUUUGGUACACAUGCAUACAUGGAGACAAAACACUGUUACACAUAAGAUGAAAAUAAAAAUAAAAAUUUAAAAAUAGUUUCACCAAAGCAGUUUUAUUUUCCUUCAAGUUUUAUAUUCUUGAAGAUCAAACAUAGGGCAUUGCUCAUGUGAAGCAAAUACUCUACCACUGCCUUAUUUAAAUAAUUAUUAUUGAGGUCCCAUUAAGUGGCCCUGCCUAGCCUUGAACUCACAGAGAUCAACCUGCCUCGGGUUGCUGGGAUUAGCGGUGCUCACCAUACUCAGGUCCAAAGGGAUCUCCGCCCCCCAGAUUCUGGCCCCCAGCCCCCUCUAUCAAAGGAGCCAUUUUUCCAUCACUGUCUGUGGUGCCUAUUAAGGCCAAAUCACACAGUGGCCACCAGGAUCUCAGCUCUUGCCCACCCUCUCACGCUAACGUUUUCUAGCUGGGGCGGGGUCAGGCUUCCCUUUUGUUCCAGUGCGCUCCUACUCUUUCGGAUAUACGCUCUCUGGGCUCUUGUCCUUUGGCCCCAUCUCUCACAGGUCCCUCUCUCUUGCCCCUCACUCUGGUCUCUUUUGCACACACUCUCUCUUCCUCUCUCACCAGCUCCCCUUCUUCCCCAGUCCAUCUACUACUUUAUCUCCCGCUCUGGACUCCGGUAGAAGACUCCUUCCACGGGCCCCCGAGCCAGGCUUCCGAUUCAACUUUCCCAGUUGUUCCUGCGGAUUCUGUUACCGGUCACACUUACUCCGCAUUCCAGAGUCUGCCUCUUCAGUCCCUUCUUCCCUCUACCUGCUAGGCUUCUCCACUGCGGUUCUGGACAUCUCUUGGUCUCUCUCUGGCUCCUGGAGCUUGCUAUGCCCUCUUGGGAACUCUUCACAUGGAAAGGCUUCGUGUCUUCCUCCACCUGUUCUCCUCAUCUGGCUAAAUGGACUCCAGAUACGUGUUGCAGUUAACAGAUUCAGGUUUCUUGCCUGCUGCGGACUCCUCCUGAGGCUGGGUCUCUCUCCUUCCCUGGUCUUGGAACUUCCUCUCCACCAACCACUAGGACCGCACACCGGAGUUUCAAGCGUAUACCCAAGAUAAAGAUUUCCCCCGAAGUUCCUUAACUUUACCUUCUGUCUCGAGUCUUUGUUCCAGCGGAUUUCCAGCCAAUGGCAGAUUACAAACUGCUCCAAACUGAACCAGCGAGCCCGGAACGUACUGAAAGCCUAUAUAAACCAGAUACUUCUGAGAGUUUCCGACUGACCUGGGCCCUUACUUUAGACCAGCUUUCCUGACAGCUCCCCAGGUGGUCCCACUGAACGCAGGCAGCAAGUGAAACAGACGUCCUGGCCUGACUCUUCUCUCCAAUCCGGACCUUUGACUGAUAAUCCAGCCUUCCGGGGCCCUGACAACAACUUUUAAUUUCAGUUACAGAAGAGAUUAAAUUAGCCCUGAUCACCAACAACA